UGUGCCAGCAGCCGCGGUAAUUCCAGCUCCAAUAGCGUAUAUUAAAGUUGUUGUGGUUAAAAAGCUCGUAGUUGAACCUUGGGCCUGGCUGGCCGGUCCGCCUCACCGCGUGUACUGGUCCGGCCGGGCCUUUCCCUCUGUGGAACCCUAUGCCCUUCACUGGGUGUAGCGGGGAAACAGGACUUUUACUUUGAAAAAAUUAGAGUGCUCCAGGCAGGCCUUUGCUCGAAUACAUUAGCAUGGAAUAAUAAAAUAGGACGUGUGGUUCUAUUUUGUUGGUUUCUAGGACCGCCGUAAUGAUUAAUAGGGACAGUCGGGGGCAUCAGUAUUCAAUUGUCAGAGGUGAAAUUCUUGGAUUUAUUGAAGACUAACUACGGCGAAAGCAUUUGCCAAGGAUGUUUUCAUUAAUCAGGAACGAAAGUUAGGGGAUCGAAGACGAUCAGAUACCGUCGUAGUCUUAACCAUAAACUAUGCCGACUAGGGAUCGGACGAUGUUAAAAAUUGACUCGUUCGGCACCUUACGAGAAAUCAAAGUGCUUGGGCUCCAGGGGGAGUAUGGUCGCAAGGCUGAAACUUAAAGAAAUUGACGGAAGGGCACCACCAGGGGUGGAGCCUGCGGCUUAAUUUGACUCAACACGGGGAAACUCACCAUGUCCAGACACAAUGAGGAUUGACAGAUUGAGAACUCUUUCUUGAUUUUGUGGGUGGUGGUGCAUGGCCGUUCUUAGUUGGUGGAGUGAUUUGUCUGCUUAAUUGCGAUAACGAACGAGAC
rnacentral:rRNA from 1 species